UACAGAGGUCCCAAGCGUUGUUCGGAUUCACUGGGCGUAAAGGGUGCGUAGGCGGUUUGACAAGUCUGAUGUGAAAUCCCGCAGCUUAACUGCGGAACUGCAUUGGAAACUAUUUGACUAGAGGAAUGGAGGGGAGACUGGAAUACUUGGUGUAGCAGUGAAAUGCGUAGAUAUCAAGUGGAACACCAGUGGCGAAGGCGAGUCUCUGGACAUUUCCUGACGCUGAGGCACGAAAGCCAGGGGAGCAAACGGG
rnacentral:rRNA from 1 species